rnacentral:lncRNA from 1 species
UUAAUUUUGCAUUUGAUUCAAGUUUGGGUAUAGGUUUGGGAUUAAAAUCAAGUUGUGGGUUAGUUUUGACAAAAACCCUUCAAUUUUUAAUUCGAACCCCACUUCAACGUAAUUGACAAACUUUUUUUUAAUAACUAAUAUUUCAAUUCGUAAUAGACAGUUCAGCGACACUUAAACUUCCGUUAAUGACAUGUCAUCAUCUAUAAACGUUUGACUAAUGGAAAAGAGGUCAACGUAUGAUUAACCUAUUUUUAUUAGUUUGUGUAUGAAAUCUAUAAUAAUAAAAUGGAGCUUUUGAAGUCCCAUAGGGCGUCCACAUCAGCGGAAAAAACUUCUUUUAAAAGAUGACAUGUGGCACUAACAAAAAUUAAAAAAUAAAUAUACAUAUAAAAAAAAUAAAUAAUAAGUAAAUCUAUAAUAUAAGAAAUAGAAAUAUUACAUUAAACAAUAAUAAGUAAAUAUACAAUAUAAGGAAAAUAAAUAAAAAGUAAAUAUACAAUAUAAAAAAUAGAAAUAUUACAUUAAACAUCUAUCAUAAUUUAUCAUCUGAUAUAAAAACAAGAAAAUUAGAAUACGUAAAUAUAUAACUAAAAAGUAAAAAAAACUAAAUUAAACAUCUAUCUGAAAAAUGUAUCUAUACUAAUUAAAGGGAGCUUUUGAGGCUUCAUAGAGCGUCCACAUCAGCGAAAAAAAACUUCUUUUAAAAGAUGACACGUGGCAUUAACAAAAAAUAAAAAAUAAAUAUACAUAUAAAGAAAAAUAAAUAAUAAGUAAAUCUAUAAUAUGAGAAAUAAAAAUAUUACAUUAAACAAUAAUAAGUAAAUAUACAAUAUAAGGAAACUAAAUAAAAAGUAAAUAUACAAUAUAAGGAAAAUAAAUAAAAAGUAAAUAUAGAAUAUAAAAAAUAGAAAUAUUACAUUAAACAUCUAUCAUAAUUUAUCUUCUGAUAUAAAAGCAAGAAAAUUAGAAUACAUAAAUAUAUAAUUAAAAAAUAAAAAAACUAAAUUAAACAUCUAUCUGAAAAAUGUAUCUAUACUAAUUAAAGAGAGCUUUUGAGGCUUCAUAUAGCGUCCAAAUCAGCGAAAAAAACUUCUUCUAAAAGAUGACACGUGUCAUUAAUAAAAUAUAAAAAAUAAAAAUAACUAUAAAGAAAAAUAAAUAAUAAGUAAAUAUACAAUAUAAAAAAUAAAAAUAUUAUAUUAAACAAUAAUAAGUAAAUAUACAAUAUAAAAAACAAAUAAAUAAAAAGUAAAUAUACAAUAUAAAAAAUAGAAAUAUUACAUUAAACAUCUAUCAUAAUUACAUUAAAAAUUAAUCAUAAUUUAUCAUUUGAUACAAUUAAGAAAUGAAAAAAAACUAAAUUAAACAUCUAUCUGAAAAAUGUAUAGUUAAAUAAAUAAUAACUAAAUACAUAAUAUAAAAAAUAGAAAUAUUAUAUUAUACAAUUAUCGUAAUAUAAGAAAAAAUAAAUAUUAAGUAAAUAUAGUAUAUAAGGAAUAAAAAUAUUACAUUAAAUAUAUAUCAUAAUAUAAUCAUUGAUAUAAAAGCAACAAAAUUUAGAUUAAAUAAAUAUACAAAAUAAGAACGAUAAACAGUAAAUAAAUAUACAAUAUAAAAAUGGAAAAACUAAAUUAAACAUAUAUUUGAAAAAUGUAUAGUUAAAUAAAUAAUAAUUAAAUAUCCAACAUAAAAAUAUUAGAUUACACAUAUAUUAUAAUAUUAGAAUAAGUAAAUAUAAAAUAUAAGAAAAAUGAAUAAUAAGUAAUUAUACAAUAUAAGAAAUACAAAAAAUACAUUAGACAUCUAUCUAAAAAAUCUAUAAUAAAAUAAAAAAUAAGUAAUUAUAAAAUAUAAGAAAUAAAAAUAUUACAUUAAACAUUAAUCAUAAUAUUACAAUUUGAUUUAAAAGAAAAAUAGUUAGAUAGGUAAAUAUACAAUUAAAAAAAUAAAUUUACAAUAUAAGAAAUGGAACAACUACAUUAAAUAUCUAUUUGAAAAAUGUAGAGUUUUACAUUUUUCUUACUUCCAAAUAUUUUUAUAAGUAAAUAUACAAUAUAAGAAAAAUAAGCAUACAAUAUAAGAAAUAUAAAUUUUACAUGAAACAUCUAUUAUAAUAUUAUCAUUUGAUAUAAAAGUUUGAAAAUUAGAAUAAGUAAAUAUACAAUAUAAGAAAAAUAAACAAUGGUAAAAUACAAUUAAUAAAUAAAAAAACUAAAUUAAACAUCUCUCUCAAAAAAUGUACUGUAAAAUAAAUAAUAAUUAAAUAUACAAUAUAAUAAAUAAAAAUAUUAUAUUAAAC